rnacentral:rRNA from 1 species
UGGGGAAUAUUGCACAAUGGGCGAAAGCCUGAUGCAGCAACGCCGCGUGAGGGAUGACGGCCUUCGGGUUGUAAACCUCUUUUAGUAGGGAAGAAGCGAAAGUGACGGUACCUGCAGAAAAAGCACCGGCUAACUACGUGCCAGCAGCCGCGGUAAUACGUAGGGUGCAAGCGUUGUCCGGAAUUAUUGGGCGUAAAGAGCUCGUAGGCGGUUUGUCGCGUCUGCUGUGAAAUCUGGGGGCUCAACCCCCAGCCUGCAGUGGGUACGGGCAGACUAGAGUGCGGUAGGGGAGAUUGGAAUUCCUGGUGUAGCGGUGGAAUGCGCAGAUAUCAGGAGGAACACCGAUGGCGAAGGCAGAUCUCUGGGCCGUAACUGACGCUGAGGAGCGAAAGCAUGGGGAGCGAACAGGAUUAGAUACCCUGGUAGUCCAUGCCGUAAACGUUGGGAACUAGAUGUGGGGGCCAUUCCACGGUCUCCGUGUCGCAGCUAACGCAUUAAGUUCCCCGCCUGGGGAGUACGGCCGCAAGGCUAAAACUCAAAGGAAUUGACGGGGGCCCGCACAAGCGGCGGAGCAUGCGGAUUAAUUCGAUGC